rnacentral:rRNA from 1 species
AGCGAACGCUGGCGGCAGGCCUAACACAUGCAAGUCGAACGAAGUCUUCGGCCUUAGUGGCGGCCGUGUGAGUAACACGUGGGAACGGGCCUUUAGGUUCGGAAUAACUCAGGGAAACUGGUGCUAAUAUCGAAUGUGCCCUUCGGGGGAAAGAUUUCUCGCCUUUAGAGCGGCCCGCGUCUGAGUAGCUAGAUGGGGGGGGAAAGGCUCACCAAGGCCACGAUCAGUAGCUGGUCUGAGAGGAUGACCAGCCACAUUGGGACUGAGACACGGCCCAAACUCCUACGGGAGGCGGCAGUGGGGAAGCUUGCGCAAUGGGCGAAAGCCUGACGCAGCCAUGCCGCGUGGAUGAUGAAGGUCUUAGGAUUGUAAAUCCUUUCACCGGUGAAGAUAAUGACUGUAGCCGUAGAAGAAGCCCCGGCUAACUUCGUGCCAGCAGCCGCCGUAAAAC